rnacentral:rRNA from 1 species
AUUGAACGCUGGCGGCAUGCUUUACACAUGCAAGUCGAACGGAAACAGGCCUUCGGGUGCUGACGAGUGGCGAACGGGUGCGUAAUGCAUCGGAACGUGCCCCGAGGCGGGGGAUAACGCAGCGAAAGCUGUGCUAAUACCGCAUGUGAUCUGAGGAUGAAAGCGGGGGACCUGGCAGCAAUGUUUGGCCUCGCGCCUUUGGAGCGGCCGAGGUCAGAUUAGGUAGGUGGUGGGGUAAAGGCCUACCAAGCCGACGAUCUGUAGCUGGUCUGAGAGGACGGCCAGCCACACUGGGACUGGGACACGGCCCAGGCUCCUACGGGAGGCAGCAGUGGGGAAUUUUGGACAAUGGGGGCAAGACUGAACCAGGAACGCCGGGUGCAGGAAGAAAGCCCUCGGGUUGUAAACCGCUUUUGUACGGGACGAAAAGGCUCUGGCUGAUACCAGGGGCUGAUGACGGGACCGUAAGAAUAAGCACCGGCUAACUACGUGC